AUUCCUUGAGAGGAUCAGCUAAGAUGGAGAGAGUAUUUGUGGUGGACUUGUUGACUUUGAAGAACCUCCUGUAGGCCAUCUAGAUGGAGAAAAUCAAUAGGCAGUUAGAAAAAUGGAAACGGGGAAUUCAGGAGAUGCAGGCUUUACCUCAUCACCGAGCAAAACCAGUAAAAUACUAUUAGAGAUUGAAAUGUAACUGGAUAAAAGUCUGAUUAUUGAGACUUUUGCCAUUGGCACAGAUCUGGGCCUAUUCCCUGGUGGAUUCCAGUCAAGUGUCUACAUUUCUGAUUUCCAUUCUUCUUAUAGUCUAUGGUAGUUUCAGGUCCCUUAAUAUGGACUUUGAAAAUCAAGAUAAGGAGAAAGACAGUAAUAGUUCUUCUGGGUCUUUCAAUGGCAACAGCACCAAUAAUAGCAUCCAAACAAUUGACUCUACCCAGGCUCUGUUCCUUCCAAUUGGAGCAUCUGUCUCUCUUUUAGUAAUGUUCUUCUUCUUUGACUCAGUUCAAGUAGUUUUUACAAUAUGUACAGCAG
rnacentral:lncRNA from 10 species